rnacentral:lncRNA from 1 species
AAUGUUCAGGAAUCAGCAACUUUCUCUAUUUUGGGCAAGUUUUUGGAUGUCUGUGGGUGAGGAAUUGCAUGUCGUGUCUGCUAAAGUUCCUGGAUUUUACUGGGAGGAGGAAUUGCAUUUUUGUGUUUUUCUGGACUUUUACCCUUGGUUGUUCCUUGCUUGUUUUUGUUGAUAUUGAAGAAAAGAUUAUUGUAUUCUUUCCAGAGAUAAGAGGAAUGGUCUUUGGGCGGCGGAUGUGCUGUCUGACAUCAUUCAAAUGACAUCAACACCCAAACAGUGAGGAUCACAGCGGGAAUCAGGUGAUGGCAGGACAGAGAUUCCUGAAGAAACUCCCUUUGAAGGCAAAGGUGACCUCUUUUCAGCAACAUAUUAGUGGGUGUUGUGUGGACAGCUGCUGUGACUGCAAGCCUUCAUCAAAACAGCGCUUGAGCAAUCGAGGGGUGGACUGUGACCUGCUCUGCAGAGAAAGAUGGGGCAGAAGGCAUCUGUUUACACUGUUAUAUUGGCCUUCUUUCUGGGUAAUAGCCCUGGGUAAAGAGAAUAAUAUUAGCUAAAGGAUACUUUUCCCAAAGAUGGGAGUCCUGGCUAUUUUCUCCCUUGCUAAGGUUCCUAGAAAGCAUCUCCCACAUGGGAGACAGAGCUGCUAGGUGGUACAGUCUCCUUCCAGGAGAGGCUGGAAACUCAGAUGUCUGUAAUGUUCUCACAAAGCCACAGACACUGAGUAAAAUAUGGACAAGCCCAAAUCUUAAAGGGGAAUGAAGUUAUAACUCCACCAGCUGGAGCUGAGAAAGGUUGCUGACUUAACUCCAGAAAGGCUGGCAUGUUUUGCUGUUUGUGGAAUGUCCUCGUGUUUCUUACCAGCACACACUGCUGGGACGAGAUCAUGCCAGAGUAAGUUUGUGAUGCUGAGACAUCUCCUGGGUUUGACUGGAGCAGAAAUGCCCUGUGGUUUCUCUACAUCUGGGUGAAAGUAGUAAGUCCUGGAACACCUGAAAAUUGAUGAUAAAAAAUAAAAAGCUUUCCUUCCACCCCCCCA